UUUAAGUCUAAUUUGAUCCUAAUGUGAUUAGGAUUCACUGGUGAAUUUAUUGGGUUUAAAACAGCCAUUUAUUGAAGAGUCCCAUGAUCAUGAAACUCUUUCCUAUCCAUGCACAAAUUGAAGUCUCACGCUAACUAGUUUUAAGCGCCUAAUACAACCCAUGUCUCACCAAUUUUGUGCGCCACUUUUCCCCUCCUUUUGUGCCUGUAAGCAAGAAAGAUAUCACCCUUUUUAGCAUGAAAACCAAGGCAUGAAAUCCUUUGUGUUGGGCGGCAUUAAAUUACCAAGGAUAUCACCCUUUUUAGGACUCUAUCUCCUAUCUAGUUUCUAACUCUUUGUUGGCCUAUAAAUUACCACAUAUAUAGGACCAUUUGGAGGAGAGGACCAGCAGGUUUUGACGCCCAAAAACCAGCACUUAGGCAUGGAGAAAAAUAAGGAGAAGAAGAGGGAUGACGUGAAGGGUGUUGGCGCAAGGUAAGGUUGUUAUGAUCCCUUCUUUCUUGCAACAACCAAUUGUUGGUUGUUAGAACAUCUUAUCUCCUCCCUCUUGUCCAUGUUUAGACAUAGAUGUCUCCUCCUCUCUUUGUUCAAAAGUUGAACAAAAUUAUUACAUCUCUAUUGUAGAGAUUUGGUACAUGAAUUUUAGAAAGAAAAGAGAAGAAAAAAUUUUUCUCAUGAUCUCUAACAUAGAGAUUAAAAUUCUCCUACAUCUUCUUGUUCUCUAAGAAUGUCUUAGAAGAAAAAAAGAUUUUCAACCAUCAAGAUGCGAUCUCUGCAAGGAAACUAGCAUCCUGAUAAGAUCAAAAGGCUUCUAAUUAGAUCAGAAUCUCGUGUGGAUACCCAUAGAGGUCGAACGCUUGUGCGGCUAAAAGGGACCUUCGCAGGAUAUCCAUGAUCAUCCAUUCGAGUUGAAGAUUGAUCCAUAUCCAGAUAUAUUUUAUAUUUAUUUUUUUUUAUUUGAUUUCUGUAUCUGAAUCUUAUCUCACAUAUGAUGAUUCUGAUUAUAAUUUGAAGAUAUGAUCUUAUGCAUGCUUAGAUUAAAUUAGAUUUAAUCUAAAAAAAAUUUAAAUUUUGCUACGUACUUGUUUUGCAAAAUUAUACAUGCAUAAAAUUAUGAAACUCCAACAGUGGUAUCAGAACUACAUCAUAUGCAUGAGAUUUAGAUUUAGAUUUGAAAUCUAUAGAGAAAAAUUUCAGAUCUAAAAGAUUUUGAUAUCAUCUGAUAUAAGGUUGCUCUGGCAUAAUUUGUUAUGCUGUAUGGUUAUCCUAAAAUGAUAUUAAAAUUUUUAAUUAGAUUAAAUUUUUAGAUUUAAUUUUUACAGCAUAUAUGUGAUGUAUGUUUUGCUAUUUAAAUUUGAAAAGAGUUUCAUGAUCUGUUUUGAUUAAUAUAUAUGAUAUAUGAAAGUAAGUUUAGGACUGAAAUUUAUUUUUAUGACCUAAACUUAUUUAUGUAUGUGAUACAUAUUUAUAUGCAUGAUCUAAAAUUAUUUCGAGAUCAACAUUUACUCUUUAUGUAAAGAAUUUAGAUCGAAAAAUUUUGAUUUAAGAUCUGAAAUUAGUGUUUGUGCAUGAGAGAUUGAUCAUGGGUAGAUCAAGUUAGAUCCCGUAAUUGGAUUACAUAAAAAGAUUUUUGAUUUGAUCAUAUUGGGUCUAAAUCGAUUUAGCAGUUGAUCAAACCGAGUCAAGUGUUGAUUAGGAUGAGGUCAAUAAAAUCUAUGAUCAUAUAAUUAUUAUUGAUUAAAUCGAUUGAUACCCAUAUGUAGAAUCCAUUAACCUAAGGAUCUAAUUCGGCUCUGUGGCUCAAAUCUGAUUCACCCAAGCUAACCUAUUCGGAUCAAUUGUCCAAUUGGUGUCUAAGAUAAGUAAUUGAGAGGUAGUUAUUUAAUUGAUUCCGUUUGCUUACCUGACCAAUUUAUUGAUGUCUAUGGAAAGCAACGGAGGGACCCCAUCAAUCUUCACUUACCUGAUCAAUUUGGAAGAUUGAGUCUCAAAUAUGAUUACUUGGUGGUUUGAUUUAGCCCAUACCAAUUACAUCAGUCAUAUGAUAACUGAUUAGAUGAGAUCUAAACCAAAAUUUUUCACAAAAUAUUAAGUCCAAGGUCUUCCACCAUUGUAGAUGUGCAGACGUGCUAUCGACGUUGAUUGUUCUCGGCUGGUCCAAUGGUUCAGUUGCAUUAGGAAUAUGCAACCACUCUAUUAACAAAGAGUUGCUGUGGGUUAAAGAUGAAGUUGGGCCCAAUAACGUUAGGUGAGAGCCCAAUGACGGCUUUACGCCUAUUUGUGAACGGUGGGUCUGACUUAACUAAGGAGUGCGGACAAUAACUGUUAAAUGAGCCCACAUGACUUAGAGACCAAGUGGCUGCAACAUGCUUAGAGAAGCAUCUGGGUAAAGAGUUAUCCAUGCAUUGAUAUUUAUUUAUGUUACCAAUAACUGUUAGGUGAGGUGCACGACAUCGAUGGGACCGCAGCCCCCACUAAAAAUCUAAUUAUCGCAUCAGGAUUUUUGUUUCUCCACCCGAAGAGUGUGGAAGAUCUGACAAAAUAAUGGGAGUCUCUUUUUGCAUCUAAAAUUUUUAAUGUAAAUCAUAUAAUAAGAACAAAUAUCUAAUUAGAAUUUUUGCUCUGUACUGUUCAUUGUGUCAGCUUUUAACCCUCUAGCUUGAGUCCUAGAUAUCAAUCGAUUAACCGAAACUGAGUACAUAGACUGACUCAUAAAUUUAAGAAUUAUUCUUAACUUUAGAAAAUUAAACUAUAUCCUCUAUCAAGUUAUUCUAAUGUUGACAACUCGUCCAACCCAUAAUCAACGAGCUAUACUUGAUGAGUAGAUGGACAAUGACAAUUAAGAUAGGUGCUAUGCAUGAGUACAUAUUUACUGCCUGCGAUAUGUUGAUUCAUCUACAAGUAUUAUGAAGUGAUCAGAGUCACACAGCGCAUGUGAUGCAUGAUGGACAGUCAAUCUAUGAUUGUUAUUUGAUAAUGAUCAAGGACAUUAAGGGGCUUAAAAUACUUGACAUGAUCAUGCAUAAGAAAUUGCUUAUGAAUUUGAUCUUACAAUUCUUGAUUAGUUUAUAUGAGUAGUUUAUGAUAAACUACCAUAUGAAAGACUAUCAUCGCACCUCAUUUGAAUUGGUCAAAGUGUUGAUAACAAAGAAACCUUGAAAGAGUUCAGAGGUAAAUACCUGGAGAGCCUAAAGAAACAAAGACACACCUAGAGUAGGUAUGUCAAGAUUGCUCAAUACUAUCCUUACGAUUUUCUCUUCUCCCAAUUGAGUUUUGGACUCUAGUGUAGUGUUGAUGGGAAGAUAGAGGGCAGAGAAAGUAACCCUUGAAUUGACUUUAGGGCAUUAGUUGCUGCUGUGGCCAUGGGUAUCUAUCCUUUACGAUCAUCAUUUGGAUUUAAUUCUUAGAGACGGUCUCUAUCAUUUGCAUGGUGAUGCAUAUGUGAACUUAAUUGAGCAAGCAGUGAUUGUCAUUGGAUCUGAGAGAUCCAGAAUUGAGAUAAAAUUUAAAGUAUAUGUGAAACCUAUGGCUAAGUCAUAUUGGAGAAGAAAUGAUUAACAAACUGAAAAAAUAUGGGCUUGGACUUAUUGACUAUUGAGUCAAAUCUAGUUUGUGCAUCAUCUCUUUGAGAAAAUACGACCAAGCUACUCUUGUGGGACAAGAGGAAAAGGACCACUGAGAUACUUAUUCUUGUACAUAUUUGAUGUGUGCAGCU
rnacentral:lncRNA from 1 species